rnacentral:tRNA from 1 species
GGAUGGGUGGCCGAGUGGUUUAAGGCAGCGGUCUUGAAAACCGCCGGACCUGCAAGGGUCCCGUGAGUUCGAAUCUCACCCCAUCCG